rnacentral:rRNA from 1 species
AAUUAUUGGGCGUAAAGAGCUCGUAGGGCGGUCUGUCGCGUCUGCUGUGAAAUUCCGAGGCUCAACCUCGGGCUUGCAGUGGGUACGGGCAGACUAGAGUGCGGUAGGGGAGAUUGGAAUUCCUGGUGUAGCGGUGGAAUGCGCAGAUAUCAGGAGGAACACCGAUGGCGAAGGCAGAUCUCUGGGCCGUUACUGACGCUGAGGAGCGAAAGGGUGGGGAGCAAACAGGCUUAGAUACCCUGGUAGUCCACCCCGUAAACGUUGGGAACUAGUUGUGGGGUCCUUUCCACGGAUUCCGUGACGUAGCUAACGCAUUAAGUUCCCCGCCUGGGGAGUACGGCCGCAAGGCUAAAACUCAAAGGAAUUGACGGGGACCCGCACAAGCGGCGGAGCAUGCGGAUUAAUUCGAUGCAACGCGAAGAACCUUACCAAGGCUUGACAUACACCAGAACGGGCCAGAAAUGGUCAACUCUUUGGACACUGGUGAACAGGUGGUGCAUGGUUGUCGUCAGCUCGUGUCGUGAGAUGUUGGGUUAAGUCCCGCAACGAGCGCAACCCUCGUUCUAUGUUGCCAGCACGUUAUGGUGGGAACUCAUGGGAUACUGCCGGGGUCAACUCGGAGGAAGGUGGGGAUGACGUCAAAUCAUCAUGCCCCUUAUGUCUUGGGCUUCACGCAUGCUACAAUGGCCGGUACAAUGGGCUGCGAUACCGCGAGGUGGAGCGAAUCCCAAAAAGCCGGUCCCAGUUCGGAUUGAGGUCUGCAACUCGACCUCAUGAAGUCGGAGUCGCUAGUAAUCGCAGAUCAGCAACGCUGCGGUGAAUACGUUCCCGGGUCUUGUACACACCGCC